UGACAGCAGAGUCUCCUUUUUGGUGAAUUGUCCCCCAUACCAGUAGGCGCGUCUGUACCACAUCCCUGGAUACAGCAAAGAGUUGGUGGCACUGUUUCUCUGUCACCUCUAUCAGAUGUGUCAGAAUUCAGGUCAUGGAGCGAUGCGGUGUCUCCUCUGCGUCGGAGGGAAUUAUCGCAGGGGAGGGCUUACCUAUUGUCUUAGUAGGUAACACAGAUGACGCCUCUUUGUCCCUCAGGAGGUCAAACUAGAGCAAAGUAGAACUUAAGGAAACAUGAUGAAUGGCUCACGUUGCUUGCAGGAGUUGUAAACCAUGAGCGAACAAUGCCAAGAAUGUGCUGUUGAGCUGCUGCGAAGCUGCUAUCCAAGGACUCAUUUUAAAGAUCAGCAAACCACUCCACAACAAAGGGAGCGCCUCUAAAUUUAAAUGAUCAACUGUAUACCCUUAAGAUAAAACAUGAAGAUGUUAUAUAAUAUAUGCCAAAUGGUUUAUUCUCUUAUUACCAAGUCCUAGGAUAGCAAUUCUUUUUCUUUUUAUACCUCCCCAUCGGAAAUGAACGUCUUUCAUGCAUUAAACAAUGUAUUCAUUUCUGUA